GUUGUCACAAAUUCCAAAAAUCUCAAAGGAACAAAAUCGAAAUUCUGCUCCAGGAAGAACAUGUUCCGAUUUUCCACCACACUGUACUCAAAUCGAUUUACAAGGUAAAGAGGGAAAGAAAAAGGCUCCGUAAUCUAUUUACAAGCCGGUAUUAAAAAAUAAAAAAUACUCUCUCCGUUCCAGAAUAAGUGAUUCAAGUUUGUACUAAUUUUGUACUAAAGUUAGUACAAAAUUGAGUCACUUAUUUUGAGACAGAAGGAGUAUCUGACAUGAAUCCAGGCUCGUUCUAAAUUGCUAUACAAAAUAAAAAAUUCCGUAUUUCACUCAUCGCCAGCGAUCGAUCAUGCUUGCGUAAGUAUGCUCAGGGCCACCAGCGCGGCGGCGGCAGCGGAGAACCAGACGACGCGGCCACGCGGCUCGCCCGCGGCGCGGCGUCCGUCCGACCCCGUCGCAGUCGUGUUCCGCCCGCCGUAGCCCCUUGUUGGCACGUAGCCACCGCCGGCCCCUCGCAUGUAACUGCCUCCGCCGCCGCCGCCGGCCCCGGGCACGGCACUGCCUCCCCCGCCAGUGCUUCCUCCAUCGCUGCUGCCUCCGCCUCCGAUCCUCCCACCACGGCCUCCACCUCCGCCUCGGGACGCCCCUCCCUGGAUCCGCGAGGCCACGCAGAGCAGCACCAGCAGCAGUGCGCAGGCCAGCCUCGCGUUGCCUCCCAGUCUCAAGGUCAUGGCCUCUCUCUCGUCUAGGUCUAGUCGUAUUCCCUUUCUCUUCCGUUUGGUUUGGUGCGGUAAGGCACCGCGGCCAUGGACCUUAUGUACAUGGUGGAUGAGGAAGAAGGCAGGAAAGCGUCUGCAGCAGAUUGUAUUGGACCUUGAGGCUAAGGAAGAAGGAGAGGCGGGAAAGCGUCAACGGCCGAUUGGGGUGGGUUCUCUGCUCGCCAUAGACGCACAUGUCGAU
rnacentral:rRNA from 1 species